rnacentral:rRNA from 1 species
AGUGAACGCUGGCGGUAGGCCUAACACAUGCAGGUCGAACGGCAGCACAGUAAGAGUUUGCUCUUACGGGUGGCGAGUGGCGGACGGGUGAGGAAUGCAUCGGCAUCUUCUUUUUCGGGGGGGAUAACGUAGGGAAACUUACGCUAAUACCGCAUACGACCUACGGGUGAAAGCAGAGGAUCUUCGGACCUUGCGCGAUUGAAUUAGCCGAUGUCGGAUUAGCUAGUUGGCAGGGUAAAGGCCCACCAAGGCGACGAUGCGUAGCUGGUCUGAGAGGAUGAUCAGCCACACUGGAACUGAGACACGGUCCAGACUCCUACGGGAGGCAGCAGUGGGGAAUAUUGGGCAAUGGGCGCAAGCCUGACCCAGCCAUACCGCGUGAGUGAAGAAGGCCUUCGGGUCGUAAAGCCCUUUUGUUGGGAAAGAACAGCAGUAGGUUAAUACGCCGCUGUUCUGACGGUACCCAAAGAAUAAGCACCGGCUAACUUCGUG